rnacentral:lncRNA from 1 species
CGCAUCCGUAACAGAUCUGGGAAAAAUAUGAUUUCCAGCAAUCUACUUACGCAUAAGAGCGAACAAAUAACGAAAACAACAACUUUGCCAAAGAACAAUUGGGUGAUUUGCAGCAACCUCCGUCAAAGACGAUAUAGAAUCAAAUUUAAAGAACAUGAGCGACGUUAGGAAGCGGGUCUUUUUUUUUUUUUUUUUUGAUUGAGAACAUAUACUAAAAUGGG